UAUUAAAGGCAAUGCCUGCCCAGUGAGAACUCCUUCAACGGCCGCGGUACCCUAACCGUGCAAAGGUAGCGUAAUCAUUUGUCUAUUAAUUGUAGACCAGUAUGAAAGGCCACAUGAGAGCCAAACUGUCUCUUGUAAUCAAUCAAUUAAACUGAUCUCCCAGUACAAAAGCUGAGAUACUCAUAUAAGACCAGAAGACCCUGUGAAGCUUAAACCAACCUAUUAAACCUAAUAAUAGCUACUUUCAGUUGGGGCGACUUUGGAACAAAACAGAACUUCCAAACAACAUGAGCAAUUCCUCAUACCACAGGCCAACAAGCCACUACAAGACCCAGUAACACUGACAAUUGAACCAAGUUACUCCAGGGAUAACAGCGCCAUCUUCUUCAAGAGCCCAUAUCAAAAAGAAGGUUUACGACCUCGAUGUUGGAUCAGGACACCCAAAUGGCGCAGCCGCUAUUAAAGGKUCSUUUGUUCAACGAUUAACAGUCCU
rnacentral:rRNA from 1 species